AAAGAGAAAUUAUUUUGUAGGCUUGUUGCAUAGAAAAUUGGAAAUUUUUUUGCUAGCUACACGAAAUAUCAAAAAAUACAUGGUCACACAUGCCAACUAUACUAUUAUAUCCUCAGCUACACGAAAUAGAUGUAUUGCAUGACCACAUGUCUAAACUAUACGACGUCAUGUAGUUAACAUCAUAGACAUACAAUUCCGGUAUACCAAUGGAUUGACUCCGGUGAAAACCAAUGUUGACUAGCA
rnacentral:sRNA from 1 species